rnacentral:lncRNA from 1 species
GUGCCUUCCAAAGUGAGAAACCUGGCACUGAUGGUAGGAUGUGGAACGAAAAUCUUACUGUAUUUUCCAAAAGAAGUAGUUCUUACUGAAGAGUGAAAUGAAAAUGUCUUGUGUGCUUCCAUGUUCUCUGUUUUGAGCUUGAGAUUUUUGCUGUUUUCUUCAUAUUUAUUUUUCAGCAGCUGAGAAUUCAGCAUCUCACUUUGUCUUGUUAUCAGAAGCUCACAGAUGGCUGCUAAACAGAGCUUCCUAUGUAUUUAGCUUUGAUAUUGUAACGGGUGAGCAAGAGUUUCAUAUGAAAAGCAAACUUUCUAUACAUCACUAGAGUACAGCUUGAGAAACAGCAGCAGUGGAGAUGGCCUGGUGUGACUCCUGCAGGAACUACGCCUGUUCUGUACCAGAUGUUCUCUGCAGGGGAUUCUUGGAUGCUUUCUACAACAGUCACACAUGAACUGACUAUCAGAGCCUUCCCAGUUCCCAUGGGGACCAUGUUUUCCCAAGGAAGCCUCAGGAAUGUGAGAGGCCCUCAGAAAAACUCCAGAGACAAGAAUGUGUUUGAAAAAUUCCUGAAGGCUUUGAUAGAGAAGGUAUUCUUUUCACCCAGCAGGAGCAGCAACACAAAAAUUCUCACCAUAUUUAUGCUAAACUUCAAGAAGAGGAACAACAUAAAAUGUGAGAGCACAUGCUAAAGGAUAGAGAACAUUCAAAAGACAAAAGACCUUCAAUUGGACACUCAGUAACGAGUUGCAAGGAAAAAACUCCAAAGAUGGCAUGAAAGAAAACACUUCUAAGGCUGAGAUUUGACAGCAUAACACGAGAAGGCAAUUGCGCUUGACCAACUUGAAACCCCUAUGGACGCCUAGAAAGUUCAGCAACAGAAAGAAGCAAGAGGGGAUGAGCGUUUGCAGCUCUGUCUGGCAGCCAUGGCACUGAGAAGGAACUAAGUGGCAUUCACAUCUCAGCAAUUCUUUGCUAUAGGGUAGAAAACAUGCUGACAUUCAUUGGCACUGAGUCCUAGAAGAUGUAGCUGGCCAAAAGAUUUCAGCCUGAAGGAAACCAUGUGCAACACUUUUGGGAGAACAUACCAGUCAUCACUCAGGAAAAAAACUGCUUCUCAGAUGAUAUCACAGUCAGUCUUUAUUGCCUAUUGUUUGGAGAUAAAUAGCUGUUUUUCUCUAAUGAGACAUGAUAAGUGACUUUCAGGGCUUUCCCCAGGAAAGGAAAGGAUUUCAGAAAGAAAAGCUAAGUCAUCUGCCUUUCCCUGGCUAUAUUUUGCAAGCAAGUCAGACUACAUUCUUAAGAUUUUUAAAACAUUUUUUAUUAAUUUUUAUUCCUUUUGACAUGUUUUUAUAGUAAAAUAACAGAGAAUAAUGUAUUACAAUGCAUAUAGAGUGAAGUCCUUCAACAAGCUGCUUUAACACAUUUGCUUUCUUGCAUCAUAGCCAUCUCUCACUGAAAAAUGGAAGUUUCAGGAAUUAUGGCUCAUUAAAAAAAACUCAAAACCUCAGAAAAAGCAACCAUGAGUGUGUUUUAAGACUCUUCUUCUAAGCCUCAAAAUCCCUUACAAGUAAAGGAAUGAAUGUGAUUCCUAUUAAUGAAUAGAAAUUAUUUUUAAAAUAACUAACAAACUGUGUUGGCUCAAAACACCCAUCUUCUGAUACAGCUCAUCAGCUAGGUAUGAGAACUGGGUAAUGUGUGCAUUCCUGCUGGACUCCUCUAGGAAGGAGAAUGGGGAAGUUCUCUGAUGGGAACUGGGGCUGUGGCAAUCAAGUGGGGAACUACACCAGAACCUGAUUUGCUGAAACCUCAAUCCCUGGACUAAGGAGAAUUUUGCUUUUACCCCAGUUUUUUCGGACAAGGUAUCUCACUGUCUGUGGACUGUUUUCCCAAGGUCUGGGAUGAAAAGGGAGCAAAAUGAUGAAUUAGAAUUUCCUUCUCUUGUUUUUGUCGAGUUUAAAAAAGGGAAAACUCAACUAAAAUAGAGGCAGCCAGCUUGAAAGAUUUAAAACUGGAUCUAAUGGGUCUUUUCCCAGAGAGAAGAGGACAGACUGAGAAGGUGGAAAAAGGAUCAUAUUAACAGGAUGGCAUAAUGGGAGGGAGAGCAUGAGAGUAUUGCCAUACAAGCAUUCACAUUUAAAUGCAGAAGGAGAGGGCUAGUACAGGAGCUUGAAAAAAAAAAAGAAAUCAGUUCCCUAUAGUAAAAGCUAAAUAAAAGGUCAUUUAUUUAAAGAACA